GUUAAUGUAGCUUAUCUUAAAGCAAAGCACUGAAAAUGCUUAGAUGGAUGCAAGCAUCCCAUGAACA
rnacentral:tRNA from 1 species